GAGCCGUAGCGAAAGCGAGUCUUAACUGGGCGUUUAGUUAGUAGGAGUAGACCCGAAACCGGGUGAUCUAUCCAUGUCCAGGGUGAAAGGAAGGUAACACUUCGUGGAGGCCCGAACCCACUGGCGUUGAAAAGCCAGGGGAUGAGGUGUGGAUAGGAGUGAAAGGCUAAUCAAACUCGGAGAUAGCUGGUUUUCCUCGAAAUAUAUUUAGGUAUAGCCUUGCGUAUAAGUAACGGGGGUAGAGCACUGGAUGGGCUAGGGGUCUCACCAGAUUACCAAACCCAAUCAAACUCCGAAUACCGUUAACUGUAAGCGCAGGAGUCAGACGGCGGGUGAUAAGAUCCGUCGUCAAAAGGGAAAGAGCCCAGACCGUCAGCUAAGGUCCCCAAAUUCAUGCUAAGUGGAAAACGAUGUGGAAAUGCCCAGACAACCAGGAGGUUGGCUUAGAAGCAGCCAUCCUUUAAAGAAAGCGUAAUAGCUCACUGGUCGAGUCGUCCUGCGCGGAAGAUGUAACGGGGCUCAAACUAUGCACCGAAAUCGCGGAUAUGUACUUGUACAUAUGGUAGGAGAGCGUUCUGUAGGCCGUUGAAGGUGUCUGGUAACGGAUGCUGGAGGUAUCAGAAGUGCGAAUGCUGACAUGAGUAGCGUUAAAGGGGGUGAAAAGCCCCCUCGCCGUAAGCGCAAGGUUUCCUACGCAACGUUCAUCGGCGUAGGGUGAGUCGGCCCCUAAGGCGAGGCAGAGAUGCGUAGCUGAUGGGAAACAGGUCAAUAUUCCUGUACCGAUGUGUAGUGCGAUGUGGGGACGGAGAAGGUUAGCUCAGCCGGGUGUUGGAUGUCCCGGUUCAAGCCUGUAGUCGUGCCUGGUAGGCAAAUCCGCCGGGCUUAGAUGAGGGGUGAUAACGAGUCUGCUUGCAGACGAAGUGAGUGAUACCCUGCUUCCAGGAAAAGCCACUAAGCUUCAGUCUAGAAUUGACCGUACCGCAAACCGACACAGGUGGGCAGGAUGAAAAUUCUAAGGCGCUUGAGAGAACUCUGGAGAAGGAACUCGGCAAAUUGACACCGUAACUUCGGGAGAAGGUGUGCCCCGGUAGGUUGUAGAGCCUCGCGCUCGAAGGCCGAUGGGGUUGCAGUGAAAUGGUGGCUGCGACUGUUUAAUAAAAACACAGCACUCUGCAAACACGAAAGUGGACGUAUAGGGUGUGACGCCUGCCCGGUGCUGGAAGAUUAAAUGAUGGGGUGCAAGCUCUUGAUUGAAGUCCCAGUAAACGGCGGCCGUAACAAUAACGGUCCUAAGGUAGCGAAAUUCCUUGUCGGGUAAGUUCCGACCUGCACGAAUGGCGUAACGAUGGCCACACUGUCUCCUCCAGAGACUCAGCGAAGUUGAAAUGUUUGUGAUGAUGCAAUCUCCCCGCGGAAAGACGGAAAGACCCCAUGAACCUUUACUGUAGCUUUGCAUUGGACUUUGAACCGGUUUGUGUAGGAUAGGUGGGAGACUGUGAAGCGGGUACGCUAGUAUCCGUGGAGUCGUCCUUGAAAUACCACCCUGGUUGUUUUGGAUGUCUAACCUGGGCCCGUAAACCGGGUCGGGGACACUGUCUGGUGGGUAGUUUGACUGGGGCGGUCGCCUCCCAAAGAGUAACGGAGGCGCGCGAAGGUUCCCUCAGGCCGAUUGGAAACCGGCCGUAGAGUGCAAUGGCAUAAGGGAGCUUGACUGCGAGACCAACAAGUCGAGCAGGUACGAAAGUAGGACAAAGUGAUCCGGUGGUUCUGUAUGGAAGGGCCAUCGCUCAACGGAUAAAAGGUACUC
rnacentral:rRNA from 1 species